CACCGGCGGCUCGAGUGGUGGCCACUUUUAUUGGGUCUAAAGCGUCCGUAGCCGGCUUGGCAAGUCCCCUGGGAAAUCUGGCGGCUUAACCGUCAGGCGUCCAGAGGAUACUGCCAGGCUUGGGACCGGGAGAGGUGAGAGGUACCUCAGGGGUAGGGGUGAAAUCUUGUGAUCCCUGAGGGACCACCAGUGGCGAAGACGUCUCACUAGAACGGGUCCGACGGUCAGGGACGAAAGCUGGGGGCACGAACCGG
rnacentral:rRNA from 1 species